CUCUACCAUCAAGGUAUAGUCUCUGUCACCUGGACCCUCCCACUCUACCAUCAAGGUAUAGUCUCUGUCACCUGGUCCCUACCACUCUACCAUCAAGGUAUAGUCUCUGUCACCUGGACCCUCCCACUCUACCAUCAAGGUAUAGUCUCUGUCACCUGGUCCCUCCCACUCUACCAUCAAGGUAUAGUCUCUGUCACCUGGACCCUCCCACUCUACCAUCAAGGUAUAGUACUGUAUAGUCUCUGUCACCUGGUCCCUCCCACUCUACCAUCAAGGUAUAGUACUGUAUAGUCUCUGUCACCUGGUCCCUCCCACUCUACCAUCAAGGUAUAGUACUGUAUAGUCUCUGUCACCUGGACCCUCCCACUCUACCAUCAAGGUAUAGUACUGUAUAGUCUCUGUCACCUGGUCCCUACCACUCUACCAUCAAGGUAUAGUCUCUGUCACCUGGUCCCUCCCACUCUACCAUCAAGGUAUAGUCUCUGUCACCUGGUCCCUACCACUCUACCAUCAAGGUAUAGUACUGUAUAGUCUCUGUCACCUGGACCCUCCCACUCUACCAUCUAGGUAUAGUCUCUGUCACCUGGUCCCUCCCACUCUACCAUCUAGGUAUAGUCUCUGUCACCUGGUCCCUACCACUCUACCAUCAAGGUAUAGUACUGUAUAGUCUCUGUCACCUGGACCCUCCCACUCUACCAUCUAGGUAUAGUCUCUGUCACCUGGUCCCUCCCACUCUACCAUCUAGGUAUAGUCUCUGUCACCUGGUCCCUACCACUCUACCAUCAAGGUAUAGUACUGUAUAGUCUCUGUCACCUGGACCCUCCCACUCUACCAUCUAGGUAUAGUCUCUGUCACCUGGUCCCUCCCACUCUACCAUCUAGGUAUAGUCUCUGUCACCUGGUGCCUCCCCUCAGAAACAAACGAUUAAUGAAACUAAGAUGCCGUCGGAUUUACAUCCAAGUGAUUUGUAGUUAAGAGAUUUCCAAACAUUUCCCCACAUUUUUGAUGCUUUCCAGAAAUCCCGUUUGGAAAAUCCCCCCCAGAGAGAAUAAGAAUAAACAAGAAAUGUGUUAUUCUCCAACUAGGAUUUCUGGAUAGUUAACAACGUUUUGCAACCUUUAUUUUGUAGGCGAUCUUGUGGACAACAGGAUAUUGUAACUCCUCUGUCUUCCACAGGUCGUCCCUGGCUGAUCACUGGUACUCCAUGUCCUAUCUGUACUAUAGCGCUGUUGGGUUUUCAGCCACCGUUACUGCUGGCCUGCUCAUCUCCUUCAUCACAGGUACUGCUGGUCUCCUUCAUCACAGGUACUGCUCAUCUCCUUCAUCACAGGUACUGCUGGUCUCCUUCAUUACAGGUACUGCUGGCCUGCUCAUCUCCUUCAUCACAGGUACUGCUGGUCUCCUUCAUCACAGGUACUGCUGGCCUGCUCAUCUCCUUCAUCACAGGUACUGCUGGCCUGCUCAUCUCCUUCAUCACAGGUACUGCUGGUCUCCUUCAUCACAGGUACUGCUGGCCUGCUCAUCUCCUUCAUCACAGGUACUGCUGGCCUGCUCAUCUCCUUCAUCACAGGUACUGCUGGUCUCCUUCAUCACAGGUACUGCUGGCCUGCUCAUCUCCUUCAUCACAGGUACUGCUGGCCUGCUCAUCUCCUUCAUCACAGGUACUGCUGGUCUCCUUCAUCACAGGUACUGCUGGCCUGCUCAUCUCCUUCAUCACAGGUACUGCUGGUCUCCUUCAUCACAGGUACUGCUGGCCUGCUCAUCUCCUUCAUCACAGGUACUGCUGGUCUCCUUCAUCACAGGUACUGCUGGCCUGCUCAUCUCCUUCAUCACAGGACACACCAGGAGUCAAGAUGUGAAACCGUGGCUCCUACGACCGGUGUGUAACCUCUUCUGCUUUUGGUCAAAGAAGUACAAGAAGAUGUGUUGGUGUGGCGUCCAUCACGAAUUAAAACAG